GUGCCAGCCGCCGCGGUAAUACGGAGAGUGCAAGCAUUAAUCGGAAUUAUUGGGCGUAAAGGGCGCGUAGGCGGAACGAUAAGUCAGAUGUGAAAUACCAAAGCUCAACUUUGGUGCUGCAUUUGAAACUAUCGAUCUAGAGGGUUGACGGAGAAAACGGAAUUCCACGUGUAGCGGUGAAAUGCGUAGAUAUGUGGAAGAACACCAGUGGCGAAAGCGGUUUUCUAGUUAAUACCUGACGCUGAGGCGCGAGAGCAAGGGGAGCAAACAGGAUUAGAAACCCUAGUAGUCC
rnacentral:rRNA from 1 species